AUGACUAGCGCAGGAGUUGCUGGGAUGGUGUUUCAGUGUGCAUUUGAAGGAAGCCUGUCAAUGCAGGACACCGAAAUUGAGCGAAGGCCAUACCAUAAGAACUGCACUUGUGCUUUGCACAAGUUUAAGUGGGGUGCUUGCUCCAUCGCUUGUCAAAGGAACAUUUCCUUCCCAAAGAAACAUUCAUGGAGUGAUGGUUCCUUGUGCAUGCAGGCAUCAUCAACUUCCAAAUUCUCCUCUCCUCUCGUCGGCGACAUGUCCAUGUCCACUUCCACAUCUACAGGAAACAGAAAGUGUGAAUCGGGAACUCAUAAUUCGGCCUUGUCACAUAGACGGUAG
rnacentral:lncRNA from 1 species